UCGAGCGGAAACGAGUUAACUGACCCUUCGGGUGACGUUAACGGCGUCGAGCGGCGGACGGGUGAGUAAUGCCUGGGAAUAUGCCUUGAUGUGGGGGAUAACCAUUGGAAACGAUGGCUAAUACCGCAUAAUGCCUUCGGGCCAAAGAGGGGGAUCUUCGGACCUCUCGCGUCAAGAUUAGCCCAGGUGGGAUUAGCUAGUUGGUGAGGUAAUGGCUCACCAAGGCGACGAUCCCUAGCUGGUCUGAGAGGAUGAUCAGCCACACUGGAACUGAGACACGGUCCAGACUCCUACGGGAGGCAGCAGUGGGGAAUAUUGCACAAUGGGCGCAAGCCUGAUGCAGCCAUGCCGCGUGUGUGAAGAAGGCCUUCGGGUUGUAAAGCACUUUCAGUCGUGAGGAAGGUGGUGUAGUUAAUAGCUGCAUCAUUUGACGUUAGCGACAGAAGAAGCACCGGCUAACUCCGUGCCAGCAGCCGCGGUAAUACGGAGGGUGCGAGCGUUAAUCGGAAUUACUGGGCGUAAAGCGCAUGCAGGUGGUUGGUUAAGUCAGAUGUGAAAGCCCGGGGCUCAACCUCGGAACUGCAUUUGAAACUGGCUGACUAGAGUACUGUAGAGGGGGGUAGAAUUUCAGGUGUAGCGGUGAAAUGCGUAGAGAUCUGAAGGAAUACCGGUGGCGAAGGCGGCCCCCUGGACAGAUACUGACACUCAGAUGCGAAAGCGUGGGGAGCAAACAGGAUUAGAUACCCUGGUAGUCCACGCCGUAAACGAUGUCUACUUGGAGGUUGUGGCCUUGAGCCGUGGCUUUCGGAGCUAACGCGUUAAGUAGACCGCCUGGGGAGUACGGUCGCAAGAUUAAAACUCAAAUGAAUUGACGGGGGCCCGCACAAGCGGUGGAGCAUGUGGUUUAAUUCGAUGC
rnacentral:rRNA from 1 species